AGGGCACUCAAGGAAGGCAUGUUCAGACCCUGUUCUCCGAUAGUAGACUGAGAGGAUAGAAAGAGAGAGGGGGGGAGUUGUUCCCUUUUGUGCAGAGGACUAGUGAUGGAUUGACUUUUCCAAUAUUUACUGUGCUCAGCAGCUCUUAAUCCAGCCCAGGUGAACCAUGGGCCUUCCCCUCACCACAGCCCAGCAAGCCAUGAGUGUCCAUUUAAUCACCAGCACAGAAAUUAGAUCCAACAGCCACUGCUCUAAAGACCUUUAAAUAUGCAGUGUACUGUAGAAGAGAAGAACCAGGGAGAUACAACAAUGCAAAACAUCAACAAACAACAGCAACAAGGACAACAACAACAUAUAAUAGCAUAAAAAAACAGGUACUUUUCCCUCUGCAUACCAUAGCUGCUUUAUACUGUAAGCUCAGGGAGAAAGGUUAGGAACCAAAGUUUUUAAAGAGAGUAUACCACUAAAUGUUUAAUUUGGGUCAAACUCAGUAAGAACAGACACUAUCCAUGUGGCCUAUUUAACCCUUUUAGUAGCCGCAGCAAAUACUUACGGCUGAGCAUAAAAUACUCUUCUGAUGAGACAGCGUUUGGGAGUGUUACUAAUCCACACGUGGUUGAAAUUAGGUUGCAGGGCUACGUCAGCAAAGCCUAUUGCAUAUUUCAAUUCUUAAAGCGGGUGUGAAGGUGAAGCGCUGUCAGACGUACUUUUGCAAAUAGCGUGCAAGUGAAACUAAUCUUGCCAAAAUAGAUUAGGCACUGUGAGUGAACAUGGCCCAAUUUACCAUCUGCUUGCCCGCAAGUGUAGAGAUGUUGGUGGACCAGAGAAACAAAAAUGACAAUAAAGCAGACAUACUUCGGGAAUCCAAAUUGCCCUUAAACUGGGAACACAGUGGGAACACAGAUUGGGAUCUGGACCAGUGACUGUUGUGACUCCAAUUAUAUAUAAUGCUUCUUCUAAUGAACUCAUUACCACCAUAGUGACAGCUAGGACUGCUCUGUUUAUGUUAUGACAUAAUGUGUAAUAAUAACUAAAUGCUUUUGGCCACUGUCACAAUUAUGCAUUUUAAAUACUAAGAUGACAUAACAGUGUCAUAACAACUUUGUGUCAAUAGCAGAGCUGGUCCUAGAUGGCCCUAUACAGGCCCUCUGGGAUCUAGUUGCACAACGCUUCCUGGUUCACUCUCAUUUACGUUGGACAAUGAGAAGGUUGUCCUUGCAGACAGGGUUAGGGUCGUGGUCGAGGCUAGGGUUAAGCUUGAACCAGGAUGUGGACAUGAAGCUAGGGUUAGGGUUGUGGUUGAGGCUAAGUUUAGGCUUGAACCAGGAUGGGGACAUUAAGCUAAGGUUAGGGUUUAGUGUUAGAGUUGAAUCAGGAAGUGGACAUGAAGCUAAGAUUGUGGUUGAGACUAGGUGUAACAUGCUGGAUAUGAACCCAGGUGUCUCACAGGUGCGACCAACGUUUUAGACCAUUAGACCAAUAGAAAAUUCCCUCUUGGGCUUAGGGCUGACACUGGUUUUGAAGUUUGCAUGCGGGGCUACCUCAUCAUGUGACCAUGACCUCUACAUAAGGUUAAGCUUGAACUGGGAUGUGGACAUGAGGCUCGGGUUAGGGUUGUGGUUGUGGUUGAGGGUUAGGGUUGCACCGGGAUGUGGACAUGAGGCUAGGGUUAGGGUUAGGGUUGUGGUUGAGGGUUAGGGUUGAACUGGGAUGUGGACAUGAAGCUAGCGAUAUGGUUGUGGUUGUGGUUGAGGGUUAGGUUUGCACCGGGAUGUGGACAUGAGGCUAGGGUUAUGGUUAGGGCUGUGGUUGCACCGGGAUGUGGACAUGAGGCUAGGGUUAUGGUUAGGGCUGUGGUUGCACCGGGAUGUAGACAUGAGGCUAGGGUUAUGGUUAGGGCUGUGGUUGCACUGGGAUGUGGACAUGAGGCUAGGGUUAGGGUUGAGGGUUAGGGUUGAAUUGCGAUGUGGACAUGAAGCUACGGUUAGGGUUGUGGUUGCACCGGGAUGUGGACAUGAAGUUAGGGUUAGGGUUGGGGUUGUGGUUGAGGGUUAGGGUUGCACCGGGAUGUGGACAUGAGGCUAGGGUUAGGGUUGGGGUUGAGGGUUAGGGUUGCACCGAGAUGUGGACAUGAGGCUAGGGCUAGGGUUAGGUUUGGGGUUGUGGUUGAACUGGGAUGUGGACAUGAAGCUAGGGAUAUGGUUGUGGUUGUGGUUGUGGUUGAGGGUUAGGUUUGCACCGGGAUGUAGACAUGAGGCUAGGGUUAUGGUUAGGGCUGUGGUUGCACUGGGAUGUGGACAUGAGGCUAGGGUUAGGGUUGAGGGUUAGGGUUGAAUUGCGAUGUGGACAUGAAGCUACGGUUAGGGUUGUGGUUGCACCGGGAUUUGGACAUGAAGUUAGGGUUAGGGUUGGGGUUGUGGUUGAGGGUUAGGGUUGCACUGGGAUGUGGACAUGAGGCUAGGGUUAGGGUUGGGGUUGAGGGUUAGGGUUGCACCGAGAUGUGGACAUGAGGCUAGGGCUAGGGUUAGGUUUGGGGUUGUGGUUGAGAGUUAGGGUUGAGGGUUAGGGUUGCACCGGGAUGUGGACAUGAGGCUAGGGUUAGGGUUGGGGUUGAGGGUUAGGGUUGCACCGGGAUGUGGACAUGAAGCUACGGUUAGGGUUGUGGUUGCACCGAGAUGUGGACAUGAGGCUAGGGUUAGGGUUGGGGUUGUGGUUGAGGGUUAGGGUUGCACCGGGAUGUGGACAUGAGGCUAGGGUUAGGGUUGGGGUUGAGGGUUAGGGUUGAGGGUUAGGGUGGCACCGGGAUGUGGACAUGAUGCUAGGGUUGGGGUUGUGGUUGAGGGUUAGGGUUGAGGGUUAGGGUUGCACCGGGAUGUGGACAUGAAGCUAGGGUUAGGGUUGGGGUUGUGGGUUGGGUUGUGGUUGAGGGUUAGGGUUGCACCGGGAUGUGGACAUGAGGCUAGGGUUAGGGUUAGGGUUGCACCGGGAUGUGGACAUGAGGCUAGGGUUAGGGUUGUGGUUGAGGGUUAGGGUUGAACCGGGAUGUGGACAUGAGGCUAGGGUUAGGGUUGGUAGGAAUAUGAGCAUAGAGAAGGCGACAGUCAAAAUACCUCCAAUGUGCCUGUUAAUUUGACCCUUUAUUACAGCUAAGAGAGAGGGCUUACUUCACAUCAGGCAUGUAGGCUUUCCAUUUUUCAUUUCCCUGUCUCUUCCAUUCGAUGACACAGACUUUGUUUGGGUAAGGCCAACCUGGUAGUUGAUUUAAUAAAACCUGCAAGCCCUACUGGACUGGAUUGUGGUGUGUUCUGGAAGCGAUGGGCUCUGAGCUUCAAUCGCUCCGAGCUUCAAAUCAGCAGGAGGGUGACUAACACAUUACACCACUACGUUCCAAUGAAUACACUAGAAAAGGAAAUUUCCUGAAGAAAAUGUGGUGCUCGUUCCUUUUUAAGUGUAUUCAUGUGGAUAAGUGGUAGAGAUAAGUGGUAGAGGUAGUGGCAGUGAAGGAAAUAGUAUAAGUAGUAAUGGUAGUUAUAUGGUUUUUAUGGUCUACAGUUAUAGUAACCUACUUGGGGGUGGUUUGUAGGUGUAGAGUUAUUAUAGUGGGUUAUAGCUUGUAGUAAUGGUAGUGGUAGUAGUGGGGACUGUGGCAGUAGUGGUGGUGGCGGUAGUAGUAGUAGUAGUAGUAGUAGUAGUAGUGGUAGUUACUGCAAUAGUAGUGGUAUUAGUAGUGACUGUGGUAAAUUAUAGCAAGAAGCUUUAUUGAAACAAUCAACAACAACAACAAAAAUAACUCUGUACUCCCUGGACCAGAGCUCGUUAAUACGUACCAAAACUAGACCAAAUGCUAGCUACACCUUGGACCAGAACUGGACCAGAGCUAGAGCGGACCAAAGCUAGAGCAGACCAGAGCUAGCUAUCUAGCUACUAGCUACACCCUGGACCAGAGCUAGUUAGUGCGGACCAGAGCUAGACCACAGCUUUUGCAGAACAAAGCUAGCUAGCUACUCUCUACACCUUGGACCAGAGCUAGUUAGUACAGACCAGAGCUAGACCAGAGCUAGUGUGAACCAUAACUAGCUAGCUACUAGCUAUGCCCAGGACAAGAGCUAGUGCAGACCAGAGCAUUAGUUGUGGUUAGUAGUUGUGGUCAAUAGUUGUGGUUAGUAGUUGUGUGGUCAGUAGUUGUGGCUAGUAGUUGUGGUCAGUACUUGUGUGGUUGUGGUCAGUAGUUGUGUUGUUCAGUAGUUAUGUGGUUGUGGUCAAUAGUUGUGUGGUCAGUAGUUGUGGUCAGCAGAUGUGUGGUUGUGGUCUUUAGAUGUGGUCAGUAGUUAUGGUCAGUAAUUGUUUUAUUGUGGUCAGUAGUUGUGUGGUCAGUAGUUGUGUAGUUAUGGUCAGUAGUUGUGUGGUUGUGGUCAGUAGUUGUGUGGUUCAGUGGUUAUGUGGUCAGUAGUUGUGGUCAGUACUUGUGUGGUUGUGGUCAGUAGUUGUGUUGUUCAGUAGUUAUGUGGUUGUGGUCAGUAGUUGUGUGGUUGUGGUCAGUAGUUGUGUGGUCAGUAGUUGUGUGGUUGUGGUCAGUAGUUGUGUGGUUGUGGUCAGUAGUUGUGUGGUCAGUAGUUGUGUGGUUGUGGUCAGUAGAUGCGUGGUUGUGGUCAGUAGUUGUGUGGUCAGUAGUUGUGUUGUUCAGUAGUUAAGUGGUUGUGGUCAGUAGUUGUGUGGUUGUGGUCAGUAGUUGUGUGGUCAGUAGUUGUGUGGUUGUGGUCAGUAGUUGUGUGGUCAGUAGUUGUGUGGUUGUGGUCAGUAGUUGUAUGGUCAGUAGUUGUGGUCAGUCGUUGUGUGGUUGUGGUCAGUAGUUGUGUGGUCAGUAGUUGUGUGGUUGUGGUCAGUAGUUGUGUGGUCAGUAGCUGUGGUCAGUAGUUGUGUGGUUGUGGUCAGUAGUUGUGUGGUCAGUAGUUGUGUGGUUGUGGUCUUUAGAUGUGGUCAGUAGUUAUAGUCAGUAAUUGUUUUAUUGUGGUCAGUAGUUGUGUGGUCAGCAGUUGUGUGGUAGUGGUCAGUAGUUGUGGUCAGUAGUUGGGUGGUUGUGGUCAGUAGUUGUAUGGUCAGUAGUUGUGUGGUUGUGGUCAGAAGUUGUUUGGUCUGUAGUUGUAGUUGUGGUCAAUAUUUGUGUGGUUGUGGUCAGUAGUUGUGUGGUUGUGGUCUUUAGAUGUGUUGUUCAGUAGUUAAGUGGUUGUGGUCAGUAGUUGUGUGGUUGUGGUCAGUAGUUGUGUGGUCAGUAGUUGUGGUCGGUAGUUGUGUGGUCAGUAGUUGUGGUCGGUAGUUGUGUGGUCAGUAGCUGUGGUCAGUAGUUGUGUGGUUGUGGUCUUUAGAUGUGGUCAGUAGUUAUAGUCAGUAAUUGUUUUAUUGUGGUCAGUAGUUGUGUGGUCAGCAGUUCUGUGGUAGUGGUCAGUAGUUGUGGUCAGUAGUUGGGUGGUUGUGGUCAGUAGUUGUAUGGUCAGUAGUUGUGUGGUUGUGGUCAGUAGUUGUGGUCAGAAGUUGUUUGGUCUGUAGUUGUAGUUGUGGUCAAUAUUUGUGUGGUUGUAGUCAGUAUUGGCGUGGUCAGUAAGAGACCUUUCUUUUUUUGCUGAGUUUAGUAUGAAAAGUAUGCAUAGUAUUUUCGAGCAACACUACCAGUGCCAGUCUGCAUGUUUUAAAGUUGAAAGUUUAUUUAUUGUAUGAUUGAUAGGAUAGCCUGAACAUGUGUAAGUGUCACGGUUUUUGUCGGUAAUGGAGGACCAAAACGCAGCAGGUAUGUGUAAGCUCAUCUUGACGUUUAUUAACUUCCCAAAAUAACAAAACAAGUGAACGAACGAUAUACAGACAGUCUUGCAAGGCGCAAGGCACAAGGCUAAACACAGAACAAUCUCCCACAAACACACAGACAAACACACCCAACUAAUAUAGGACUUCCAAUCAAAGGCAACACCACACAGCUGCCUUCAAUUGGAAGUCCACCCCAAUUAACUCUACAUAGAAACACACUUACUAGACUACACAUAGAAAUACAUAAACAUAGACCAUAAACCAAAAACCCGGAAAUACUAAAUCAAACACCCUUUUACCAAAACACCACCCCGGACCACAUAAAACAAAUACCCUCUGCCACAUCCUGACCAAACUACAAUA
rnacentral:lncRNA from 1 species